rnacentral:rRNA from 1 species
UAGGGAAUCUUCCACAAUGGACGCAAGUCUGAUGGAGCAACGCCGCGUGAGUGAAGAAGGUCUUCGGAUCGUAAAGCUCUGUUGUUGGUGAAGAAGGAUAGAGGCAGUAAAUGGUCUUUAUUUGACGGUAAUCAACCAGAAAGUCACGGCUAACUACGUGCCAGCAGCCGCGGUAAUACGUAGGUGGCAAGCGUUGUCCGGAUUUAUUGGGCGUAAAGCGAGCGCAGGCGGAAUGAUAAGUCUGAUGUGAAAGCCCACGGCUCAACCGUGGAACUGCAUCGGAAACUGUCAUUCUUGAGUGCAGAAGAGGAGAGUGGAACUCCAUGUGUAGCGGUGGAAUGCGUAGAUAUAUGGAAGAACACCAGUGGCGAAGGCGGCUCUCUGGUCUGCAACUGACGCUGAGGCUCGAAAGCAUGGGUAGCGAACAGGAUUAGAUACCCUGGUAGUCCAUGCCGUAAACGAUGAGCGCUAGGUGUUGGGGACUUUCCGGUCCUCAGUGCCGCAGCAAAUC